CCCGUUUUGACUUAUACACCCAAUGGCUACGGUUCGUCCCUGGUGUAUGUCAAUGCCGUCAGUACACUCGCUGGAGGGAUAGUUAUUGAUGCUCCACGGAGUCGUACGGCGGUUUGAUUCACGAAGCCGCUGUGCCAAAGUCUACCAAACUGUACAACUAAGAUCAAUGUUUGGAGGCUCGUCCAGUACCAGACAUGCACAUAUGCUGCACACCCCAGAUAGCGCAGAGAAGACUCCUUUCCUUGCACUAUUGCAAGCAACAUCUGAAUGCUCUAUCUUUUAUUACUGACAAUUGUGGACAACUUUGAAAUAAAAUGGAGAGUGCAGUUAGGAUUUAAUAUUCUUUACUUGAUGCAUAAUCGAAACAAUAGAAGCCGAUCAGCUUAAGUUCGACUGAACUGUUAUUGUCUAAAGAGAUAUAAAUGCAAAUUGAAAA